rnacentral:rRNA from 1 species
GACAUGGGAAGCUUGCUUCCUAUGAAAUCGAGUGGCAAACGGGUGAGUAACGCGUAAACAACCUGCCCUUCGGAUGGGGAUAACAGCCGGAAACGGCUGCUAAUACCGAAUACGAUCUUUUCGUCGCAUGACGGAAAGAAGAAAGGAUGGCCUCUAUACAAAGCUAUCGCCGAAGGAGGGGUUUGCGUCUGAUUAGCUGGUUGGAGGGGUAACGGCCCAACAAGGCGAUGAUCAGUAGCCGGUCUGAGAGGAUGAACGGCCACAUUGGGACUGAGACACGGCCCAGACUCCUACGGGAGGCAGCAGUGGGGAUUCUUCCGCAAUGGACGAAAGUCUGACGGAGCAACGCCGCGUGAGUGAAGAAGGUCUUCGGAUUGUAAAGCUCUGUUAUACGGGACGAAAAAGACGGAUGCCAACAGUAUCCGUCCGUGACGGUACC